GGUCAAGCUACAAAGGGCUCACGGAGGAUACCUAGGCACACAGAGGCGAUGAAGGACGUGGUUACCUGCGAUAAGUCUCGGGGAGUUGGAAGCACACUUUGAUCCGGGAAUUUCCGAAUGGGGCAACCCCUUGAACGACCAACUGAAUAUAUAGGUUGGUGCGAGCUAACCCAGCGAACUGAAACAUCUUAGUAGCUGGAGGAAGAGAAAGUAAAUAACGACUCCCUCAGUAGCGGCGAGCGAACGGGGAAUAGCCCAAACCGAUAGUCUUGACUAUCGGGGUUGUGGGACAGCAAUAUGGAUCAACAAUUCUAGAAGAAACGUUUGAAUGGCGUGCCAUAGAGGGUGAAAGCCCCGUAAUUGAAAGAUGAGUUGACCUAGCUGUAUCCCGAGUAGCACGGAGCACGUGGAAUUCCGUGUGAAUCUGCGAGGACCACCUCGUAAGGCUAAGUACUACUGUGUGACCGAUAGUGAAACAGUACCGCGAGGGAAAGGUGAAAAGAACCCCGGGAGGGGAGUGAAAUAGAACAUGAAACCGUGAGCUUACAAGCAAUGGGAGCCCGACUAAUCGGGUGACCGUGUGCCUGUUGAAGAAUGAGCCGGCGACUUAUAGGCACUGGCGGGUUAAACCGGAAAUGGUGGAGCCACAGCGAAAGCGAGUCUUAAUAGGGCGUUUGUCAGUGUUUAUAGACCCGAACCCUGGUGAUCUAACCAUGGCCAGGAUGAAGCUUGGGUGAUACCAAGUGGAGGUCCGAACCGACUGAAGUUGAAAAUUCAGCGGAUGAGCUGUGGUUAGGGGUGAAAUGCCAAUCGAACCAGGAGCUAGCUGGUUCUCCCCGAAAUACGUUGAGGCGUAGCGUCUAGUGCUCCAGCAGGGGGGUAAAGCAACCAUUUCGGUGCGGGCUGCGAAAGCGGUACCAAAUCGAUAUGAACUCUGAAUACCCUGUGUGUAACUAGGCAGUCAGACUGUGGGGGAUAAGCUCCAUAGUCAAGAGGGAAACAGCCCAGACCGCCAGCUAAGGUCCCAAAAUUAACGCUAAGUGAUAAAGGAGGUGGGAUUGCCCAGACAACCAGGAGGUUUGCCUAGAAGCAGCCAUCCUCAAAGGAGUGCGUAAUAGCUCACUGGUCGAGCGAUCCUGCGCCGAAAAUGAAUGGGGCUAAGCGUUAUACCGAAGCUGCGGAUAAAUUUAUUUAUGGUAGGGGAGCGUUCUAUGUUGGGUGAAGCGUUAGCGUAAGCGGACGUGGACGGCAUAGAAGUGAGAAUGUCGGCUUGAGUAGCGAAAACAUGGGUGAGAAUCCCAUGCCCCGAAACCCUAAGGGUUCCUCCGGCAGGCUCGUCCGCGGAGGGUUAGUCUGGACCUAAGGCGAGGCCGAAAGGCGUAGUCGAUGGAUAACAGGUCAAUAUUCCUGUACCAGUUAUGUUUUGGGAAGGGGGACGGAGAAGGCUAGCCAGGCCAGAUGUUGGUUACUGGUUCAAGCGUUCAAGGCUUUGAGAGAUGGAGAAAACAUCUCGAGCUGAGGCGUGAGUACGAGCUGCUACGGCAGCGAAGUUGGUGAUGUCAUGCUUCCAAGAAAAGCCCUAUACCCGUUAAGACAUAAAUGCCAGUACCCGAAACCGACACAGGUGGGGUGGUAGAGAAUACCGAGGGGCGCGAGAUAACUCUCUCUAAGGAACUCGGCAAAAUGGCCCCGUAACUUCGGGAGAAGGGGUGCCAGCGAGAGCUGGUCGCAGUGAAGAGGCGCAAGCGACUGUUUACCAAAAACACAGGUCUCCGCUAAGUCGCAAGACGAUGUAUGGGGGCUGACACCUGCCCAGUGCCGGAAGGUUAAGGAAGCUGGUUAGCUUUUAGCAAAGCUAGCGACUGAAGCCCCGGUGAACGGCGGCCGUAACUAUAACGGUCCUAAGGUAGCGAAAUUCCUUGUCGGGUAAGUUCCGACCCGCACGAAAGGUGUAACGAUUUGCGCGCUGUCUCGGAGAGAGGCUCGGCGAAAUAGAAUUGUCUGUGAAGAUGCGGACUACAUACACCCGGACAGAAAGACCCUAUGAAGCUUUACUGUAGUUUGAUAUUGUGCUCGGGCUCUAAUUGCGCAGAAUAGGUGGGAGACGUUGAAAUAGUGCUUGUGGGCAUUAUUGAGUCAUCGGUGAGAUACCACUCUAUUAGAGCUAGGGUUCUAACGCUUACCCGUUAUCCGGGAAGCGGACAGUAUCUGAUGGGCAGUUUGACUGGGGCGGUCGCCUCCUAAAAGGUAACGGAGGCGCACAAAGGUUCCCUCAGGCUGGUUGGAAAUCAGUCGUUGAGUGCAAAAGCAGAAGGGAGCUUGACUGUGAGACCUACAAGUCGAACAGGGACGAAAGUCGGUUUUAGUGAUCCGACGGUUCUGCGUGGAAGGGCCGUCGCUCAACGGAUAAAAGUUACUCUAGGGAUAACAGGCUGAUCUCCCCCAAGAGUUCACAUCGACGGGGAGGUUUGGCACCUCGAUGUCGGCUCAUCGCAACCUGGGGCUGAAGUCGGUCCCAAGGGUUGGGCUGUUCGCCCAUUAAAGCGGUACGCGAGCUGGGUUCAGAACGUCGUGAGACAGUUCGGUCCAUAUCCGGUGUAUGCGCAGGAAUAUUGAGAGGAUUUCUCCCUAGUACGAGAGGACCGGGAGGAACGCACCUCUGGUGUGCCAGUUAUCGUGCCAACGGUAAACGCUGGGUAGCCAUGUGCGGAGUGGAUAACCGCUGAAAGCAUCUAAGUGGGAAGCCCACCUCAAGAUGAGUAUUGCCAUGGCUUAAGCCAGUAAGGUCACGGGAAGAACACCCGUUGAUAGGCUCUACGUGGAAGCUUGGUAACAAGUGCAGCGGAGGAGUACUAAUAGACCGAGGGCUUGACCAA
rnacentral:rRNA from 2 species